AAGAGGAUAGACUUGGAUCGAUCCAAUGGUUAGGGUUUAAUCUUGUUUUAGUGGCACUAUUUGAUCCUAUGGCUAGGAAUGAUCAUGAUGCCUAGGAUGACUUUGGUCAUUGUUUUGUACUUAGAAAAUAUCACAAAGACCUCUCCUUUCUCUUGCUUGGCCGUGAGUCCCUUCCAUGCCCUAGCUCAUCACCAAAUUUUCAAUCCUUCACCAAAUCAUUCC
rnacentral:lncRNA from 1 species